GUUGUAUCUGUACGUGCAGAAAGAAGGCAUUACAGUGAGGAGCUGUUAGUGAUACACUGACAGUGGCCACCUAUUUACUUACACACAGGCUCUGCACCUCUGAGCUGAGCCAAAGGACAUCAAAGCAGUCUAAAAGCCAAAAGUAUAAACCCACUACACAUUCAGUUUCUGAGGUAUCAGUACCAGAGCUACUCAGACCCAAACCCAACAGGUUUGCAUUAAAUUGUGCAUCCUUCAUUUGUAUUUCAUAACUGCUUCCCUUAUUUGCACCUUAAUUUCUUGUCAAUUACUCCUAAAGGUACAUGCUAUUAAGAGUCUGACAAAGUUUACACAUUUUAGUCCCACAGAAUUCAGUAUCAUUAACUGGGAUUUUAUUCUCCAUUCUGCACUGCCAGCUGCAUUUCAGAACUUGAAAAGAAAAUUUUCUGAAAAGCAUUUUUUACUAGGUUUUAAGUCUUGGGUCUUUUCCUUCUGGUAUGAAGCUGAUUAACUUUAUAAUUCCAUAAUCCCAAGGGUAAAUGUCCUUAUAGAAUUGAUAGCUUCCACUCUGAUCCUUCCAUUUGCUACAUUCUACUCUUCAGACUGGAUUCAGUUUCUUGAGUUAACCAGAGAAAAAUUCUGACAAGUUUAACUCUUAAGAUCAGUAUAGCAACUCAUUUACUAAUUGGUUUUCUUCUUGAAAAUAUGCUACCAUACAAGUCUUUGAAUUUUAACUUAUAGUAAAAUACUCAUAGAUAAAUGCUCAGGGGUAACCAGCCAUAUCUUUCAUUUCCUAAAUCCAAGGUAAAACAACAACAAAAAAAAUUAAUAGGUGAUCAUCAUAAGAAGACAAAGCUACAGUCAAGACUACAUAUUUUCUCACUUUCCCUAGCAAUGAUGAAAUUUUGAGAUUUGGAGACAGAAAACCAUCCCUCAUUCCCUUCCUUCACAAGCAGGAGGCACAACAGCUGAAAUCACUAAUAAGGAGGUGAGUGGAAAAAAGCUGAGCCACAAAUGAGGAGAAGCUGAUGCACAGCAUCCUCAACUUGAACACCUUCUCUUUGCAGAAGGAGCUACAGCAUUCAGGCACUUCAGAAGUUACAUGGCUGGACUAUACCAGACACUGAACUGAGAGAAAAAGGCCAUUUUAAUAAUUCUUAGUCUGGGCAGAGAAAUAAUAUUAGACCACAGAUGUCCAUGUAACUUCUCCAUCACUCCUUUGCUGUCUACUGCUCAAGGUAAAAGCAAUUCUCAAAUCUUCCUCAGUCUGUGACAUGUGCUGAGCCACAGGCCACUGCAUACACUGCAAGAAGUUUUCAAUGGCUCAACACUGAAAAACAGGUACCAAAUAACUCAGUCAAACAGAAGGUCAGAAAUUCUUCUGUACAGGUUUUACAACCAGAGGAUUGCAGUAGCAACAAAUAACUCAUAUUUGGGAAAAUAAUUUUUCAUGCAAUCCAUCUGUUACACAAAAGCAUGAAGGUUUUAUGUAGUUAAGUACAAAAAAUUAGUUACCAACAGCAGUGUAUGCCUACAGUUUUCUACUUGCCAUAGCUAUUCUCAAUAUUUAAAGAGCUAAUCCUGUGGAAGUCUAGGAAAAGGGUAUUGCUAAAGUUAAUACGGAAGGUGCACAGCAGACAGCCACACACACAAUUAUGUAUGUUAUACUCACUUUUCCUUGUCUGACUUGUAGAUCUGUGCAAUAUCUGGUACUAAAGGAUCAUCUGGAUUAGGAUCACAAAGUAAGGAGCAUAUGGACAAUAAAACUAAAUAAAAGAGACACUAGAUUAAACAAGUUAGUGUUUAUUUCUACAAUCCUUUAAUAUAUUCCAGUAUACUGAAGGAGGUGGGAGGAGGGUAUAGGGAAAAGAAUGCAUAUUAGGAUUAAGCUGUCAUUUAACAGUUUUGUCCAGAAAUGUUUAUACAGCAUCAUUUUUCCAGGGCCUAAGCAAACACCUGAUACAAGCCCAGGGAAUCUGCAGCCAUGCACCUGUACCUUUUGUAAUGAUCUCUUCACAUCCAAGCCUAGGACCCCACCUGCAGACUACAGGCUGAUAGACACUGUGCUGUAGAAACUUGAAUGACCACAUGCAAGUACUUCCUUUGAAAUAAGUUAAAGGGUGUGUGUCUUAAAUAUUUCAACUCAAUUUACCAUGGACCCAACACCUAAAUUCAGGCAGACUUACAGCUCCACUGUUGGCCCUGAAAUCAAAGAAAAGCACUGCACCAUAUCUUACUCCUGCUCUGAAGUGACUUCUCACAAUCUCAUGAUUUAAACAAGACAGACACUUUCUCCUAUACUGAAACAGCACAGGUUGUCAGCUGGCAUUACUUGUCUGCACUUUAACUUUAUUCUGCUGGUGACACUGCAUGCUGAUCCAGAAAGAACACUCUGGGCUGGACUUGAACUAAUACAGGCACUUUAGAAAUGCAGUUCCUAUUUUAAUCAGAGGACUCAUGUUUCGUUAAGGAGUGAUUCAGAGAACCAGCUAUUUAUGCAAAGCCAAGCCACUGCCAGUACACACAGGCAGUCAACAAAUCUCAGGUUUCCAGCAGUCCCAGAGACAAACAUGGCCAGCAGCAGAGCUGUUACUGGCACUGCCUUCUCGAAUUUGCAACUCAAGAUCUGACCCAACAACAGAAGAUUAAGUCUUGUACACACACUAAAACAACCCAACCAAGACCAAACAGCUGCACUACAGUGCUGGAACAAGAACUCUGCCUAACAAUCAUGCAUUUUGCAACAGUCAUUAUUGACUACUAAAUUCAAGGCAGGAACUGGAAAAAUAUGUAGCUUGAACUUUUCAGAAAGUCUUUGAAGUAUAUGUAAACAUUCCACAUGCACACGGGAACUACCAGGCAACCAGUCAGAGUCACAGGUCUGUAACAGUGCUUUUGUUGCUAGAUGUAUUCAUCAAGAUCUUUACAUACCCCAAAACCACACAAGUUUAUUUUCUUUCAUAUAUACACUUGUACUUAAGAAUUAACAGAACUGGGGAAUGCUCCUCAGGUGUACACUUCAAUUUGUUCAGGCUAAAAAGGCACUGACAUCUGUUUAUUAUUAGAAAAAAACAGCAAAUAUUUUUCAUCAUACAUUGAUGAGACCCACAACUAUAAAUCACUGUUAAUAAAAUUUCCUAACAACAAUGAAGAAAAGGUUCUCUUCAAUCAACUUCACCAAAUGAGAGCGAUGUUCACAAAUACAUUCUGAGACCUUCUGCAGCUGUGAAACAUAAAGCCAGAUCAAACUUCAAAAUCAGUAGAGCAAAUUCAAGCUGCAUUUUGCAUCCAUAUGUAAAGCUAAUGUGGUUUAAAAAUACAAGUGGUAACACGAUCCAACAGCAUGAACAGUUUGAAUCUUUAUAUACAGAAAUUCAGAUCAAGCUGUGAUAAAAAGGAAGAACUAUUCAGAUUUACAUUGUUGAUUAUGCUGUUUAAGCUUUAGGUUCAAAGCAGAAUUAUCUGAAGAGCUGUAAGAUUUAGGCUUCAAGCUUUCCUACACUUUUUGAAAUGGGGCAAGCAGAUACCCAGAUGUCCCUGAAUCAGACUGACCUGCCAGUGCCCAGAGUUGAACAAUGCAGAACAGAAAUGAGGAUCCUCUAAAUACAUGUAGAAAGACUUCUUCAUGACUUCAUUUAUUCACAAAAGAAUGAGAAUACAAAAAUUCUCAAUACAAAGCACAGAUGCUCUUUAGAAGAAGGCCAAAACUUUGCUUUGUAAAGGGACAAGGCUGAAGAUUCACAAAGUUUAACAUGCUGAAACCUCAUCAAGAAGCACAAGCUAACUGCACGUGAGGCACUAGACAGUCAACUAGAGAUUGCCCUGUAAUUUUAAGUUAAGCAGCUUUGUCCAAGCUUUAUGGAUUAUUACCAUGUAGCUGCAUGGUCUGGUCACUUCCAGGGUCUGCACGAAUACUUUUAGCCACUGGUAUAGAAAGUGCUGGUGCAAGAUGCACAUUUGCUGACAAACAGGAUCCACAGCUCAUUUUCAGAUUCAUUUUCAACAGAAAAGGUCACCAGUGUACACUGGUGCAACAUCAUUUAUGAGAAUACACAACCCCAAGAUUCUGUCUGCAAGAGAUGCAUCAGAAGGAGGAGUGAUUUCCAACACUGUAACAUAAAAUGAAUGUAACAACAUAAAAGCACCUCUCAAGAGCUGCAACACAUGCCACACUACCCCAGCACAGCCAGGAUCAACGAGCACGGAGAAAAAUACCUAAGCUGGGGACAGCGGUAGGAAUAAAUCCUCUAAUCCUCUCUACAAAACAUUUCAGGGUAGAAUAGAAUGCUAAUGGUUAACACACUACUGGAGAUGGGCAAAGCCUCCAAAUUAUCCCUUCCCUUGCACCACACGUGCUCCUGAACAGCCCUAUAGACAGCAUGAAGCACAAAUUCAAGUUUAACAGCUGUAAAAAACAGGCUGUGGUAAGCUAUGAAUGUUGGAGACGUUUCUGAAUGUGCAGAAAAUACCCACGGUCAAAGAAUAAUACAGGAUGUAUUUCAUAAGAAGUUGAAGACUGCAAGGCCAAUUUAACACUUACAUGCUUGAUCAGCAUUCAGGCUUUUCUCCCAAAAAGCUACUGGAACAACAUUGUAAAGGAUAUUUUGGUAGUAAGGAAAUAAAUCUUUUCAGCAUA